rnacentral:rRNA from 1 species
GACGAACGCUGGCGGCGCGCUUAACACAUGCAAGUCGAGCGAGAACCAGGACUUCGGUCCCGGGGACAGCGGCGAACGGGUGGGUAACACGUGGAUAACCUGCCCUCGGCACCGGGAUAGCCCGGGGAAACCCGGAUUAAUACCGGAUGGCCCUUCCGGCUCACGAGCCGGUCGGAAAAGGUAGCUUCGGCCUCCGGCCGAGGAUGGGUCCGCGGCGGAUUAGCUUGUUGGUGGGGUAACGGCCUACCAAGGCGCCGAUCCGUAGCUGGUCUGAGAGGACGAUCAGCCACACUGGGACUGAGACACGGCCCAGACUCCUACGGGAGGCAGCCGUGGGGAAGCGUGCGCAAUGGGCGAAAGCCUGACGCAGCGACGCCGCGUGGGGGAGGAAGGCCUUCGGGUUGUAAACCUCUUUCAGGAGGGACGAAGCUACUCGGGUGAAUAGCCCAGAGGGUGACGGUACCUCCAGAAGAAGCCCCGGCUAACUACGUGCCAGCCGCCGCAGUAA